UGGGGAAUCAUGGUCAAUGGGCGAAAGCCUGAACCUGCGACGCCGCGUGAGUGAUGAAGGUCGUAAGAUCGUAAAACUCUUUUCAGGGAUCUUAAAGCCUGUCUGUCAACAACAGGCAGGUCUGACUCUCCCUGGAAGAAGCCCCAGCCAACUACGUGCCAGCAGCUGCGGUAAUACGUAGGGGGCGAGCGUUAUUCGGAAUUACUGGGUGGAAAGGGUUGGUAGGCGGCCCUUCAAGUCGCGUGUCAAAGUCCAGUGCUCAACGCUGGGUGUGCACGCGAUACUGACGGGCUUGAGGGCUGGAGAGGUGAGCGGAAUUCCCGGUGUAGUGGUAAAAUACGUAGAGAUCGGGAGGAACACCAGCGGCGCAGGCGGCUCACUAGACAGUUUCUGACGCUAAGAUACGAAAGCGUGGGGAGCAAACA
rnacentral:rRNA from 1 species